GUUUUGGAUAGGCCAUGCUUGGGGUGUUUCUGUAAGUACUGGUACUUGCAUGCCUGACACUUCCCCUUCCCCACUGCUGACAGAGUCUCGAUUGUUCUGGAGGUGUCCAACCCUCCAGUGGUUCCCCUUCACUGUGAGGGCAAAGAGCAGACUCCUUAGCAUGGCUGUGGGUCCAUCCCUGCCUGUCACCAGGCUCCAGCCACUCGCAUUCUUUUAAUUCCUUGGAGGCACAAUGCUCUCCCGUCCUGCCCCACCACAGGAGGGAGCCUUUGCACUAGAUGUUCUCUUUGCCUGGAAUAUUCUUUUCUCUCCCCCGACAUAGAUCUCAGCUCAAGCACCGCUUCCUCAGGGCAAUUUUCUGUUUACUUGGGAGAUGACUUAUUAGCGUCUGUCUCUGCUCUGUCGUGGAAGCUGCGCCAGGCAGGAACCGUGUUGCUUUUGCUCUUCAUGGCCCCUGGCACCCAGUCCAGUGCCUGGACAUAGUAGAUGAGGAAACUGAGGCUCAGAGAAGGAGGCCACAGCCAGAGAAGCAGCAGAAAUGGAAUCUGUUUUGAUGUCUUCCCUCUCACCAAGCUCUGCUUCUCCUCCAGAUAACAGCACCCUACUUUCCCUUGAGAGCUCACCCUCCUAACUUGCUCUUCAUCCAGGUUGUUCAGAUGGGACUGACUCCGCCCCUCAACCCCAGCUCCAAGUGAACCAGGACUGGCCAAUCAGAAUAUUCCACUCCUUCUCACUCUCCACCACCCCCGCUGGUUCAAGGAUUGUCAUGUGAUAUGAACUAGUCUAAAGACCCUCCAUUCUGGGGUCUUGGACUUCUGGCAGAAAUCUUGGGAACAAGAAACUCUUGGUCCUAAGCUGAGAGGAUGUCAGCCCUGGACACCACCUUCGGCAGGCUUGGUUCUUCAUGUCUCUCCGUCCAGCGGUCCCAGUUCCCAGCAGAGGGACUCUGAUGGUCUAGCACAGGCCAGGCCUCCAGUCCACAUCGUUGUCUGUGGCUAGGAGGAUGGGGUGGGGCACAAACCACCACAUAGCAUCAAUCUCGGAUGCCAGGAAAACAGACAUGAUAAAAUGAAGGUCAAAGCUCUUGCCAGUCCCAACCUCUCCAUGGGUAAAAAUGGGCCCCCAUCUGUCCCCAUUGACUCCAUGACCUGUCUUUGCCAACAAGGUGUUAAUAGAAUUCUCUAAGCCGUGGGCACAAGGCAAAUGGCCCAGCAGAUAACAUGAAUAUGGGAAUCAAGCCAGGUAUGAGCCAAUAGAUCUAAAACUCUGGCGCUGUGGCCAGGCCACAUGCCUGCCUCGAUAUGUUGCUUCUAACACAACACAGGCCAAUGAACAAGGGACCAAAAAUGGCCCCCAGGCUGCCAGUUGGCAACCCCUGCAAAGCUGCUAAAUAGUGCCCCUUUGGGCUGGAUGCCUAUCUUCCUAUGAGGAAUUCUAGCCAAUUCAUCAGCCAACAGUCUCUAUAUGAUUGAGAGGUGACACCAAGGAAACAAAGACCUGGAAAAUAUGUCCUUUUUAUGUGAGGGAUAAAGAAACAAAGAGUGGAUACAGCAUUUGACUUCACAAAGCUUGCAGUCUAAUUAAAGAGAUG
ensembl:lncRNA